AUGAGCUCAUAUGAUAAUCGUGCCCUGCAGGCAUGAGUUGUGGUCUUGGGAGGUACUGCCCGCAGCAGCUCAGAGGUUUGCCUCUUGAAAGAGAGCGCUGGCGAAGGUGAUUGCCCUACGUCCUUUGAUGCCUGCUGCACCCGGCGUACUCUCCACGAGUCACGUUCCUUGGGAGUGGAGCGCUAAGUGGGUGGUAGACUUCAUCUAAAGCUAAAUUGUUGCUCGGGACCGAUAGCACACAAGUACCAUGAGGGAAAGGUGACAAGGACUUUGGAAAGAGAGUGAAAAGUGCCUGAAAUUGCUGGAAGGGAAGCGGAUGAAAUCAGAUGUGCUUGUGAGAUUGUCCGGCAGUCAGGGAGGUUGUUGCCACCUGUUGGUGACAGCACCACCCGCCGUGCAGGAUGUUUCUUGCUGCUUAUGUUGGUGCAUACCCAUCAUUGGCAAUCUUGCUUGGUGUCACGUCAGCAUUCUUUCUAGCUUGCGGGUGCAUCUUGACAAGCCCACGGUGGGUUGUUCGUGAUCGUGUCCAAA
rnacentral:rRNA from 1 species